AGACCGGGUAGUAAGUUGGAUAUAUUUAUAUUUCGCGAUCUGGUAGGUAGGAAAAUAAAACAUUAUUUUUAUAGAUCGGAAAUCAAAUAUAUCAUUUAUAGGAAUAUUAUUUGUCCGAUUAUUACAUUCUUCACUUCAAUUUUGUGCUAAUCUAUAUAACUAGAAAACCGAAGUGGGUGAUUUAUAAAUAUUAGGUGUAAUAGUUUAAUUUAGGACUCGUCCCAUAUCAUGUUUUGAUAUUUUAUUAAAUAACUGCCAUUUUAGGGACACAAACAACGUGAUAUAUAUGACGAUCAAUCAAUCAAUAAUUUAAUAAAGCAUAUCAUUGUAUAUUAUAUCCGGUGUUCAAAAUAGCUUAUCGAUAACUCGUUUGUAAAAUUUAUAACGACUGAAUUUAGAAACCUAUGUUGGAGGAACCUAUAUGAUGAAUAUCCUGACCAAUUCAAUAUAUAUGUUGGUAGAGAAGAAUUAGUGU